GUCAGUGUGGUGUAGUGGUUUGUGUUUUGGACUAUGACUCUGGAGGUAAGGGAUUGAAUCCCACUUGUUGACU